rnacentral:rRNA from 1 species
UACGUAGGGGGCAAGCGUUAUCCGGAUUUACUGGGUGUAAAGGGGGCGCAGACGGCGAUACAAGCCAGGAGUGAAAGCCCGGGGCCCAACCCCGGGACUGCUCUUGGAACUGCGUGGCUGGAGUGCAGGAGGGGCAGGCGGAAUUCCUGGUGUAGCGGUGAAAUGCGUAGAUAUCAGGAGGAACACCGGUGGCGAAGGCGGCCUGCUGGACUGCAACUGACGUUGAGGCCCGAAAGCGUGGGGAGCAAACAGG